rnacentral:lncRNA from 1 species
CUUAGCGCUCAAACACUGAUAUUCUAGCGUUGUGGUCGUUUGUGCUCCAUAGUGACAUUUAUCAUUAUCAUAAUAAUAACAUAUAGUAAUACUUUAAGAGUUAUUUUUGUAUUAAAAGAGUAUUCCGAUUCAAACUUCCAUUACUCGUUACUAUAAGGGGAAGAUUCAGAAUUAUCAUAAGAUGUAAGAUACAUUCAGCCACAGGGUCGAGUCCUUCAAUGACGAGAAUACAUUUUGAAUAAUGAAAUAAAAAGAGCCUACUAAUAAAGGGAAAUAUUUGGGUACUUCAUCAGUUGUUGUAGUUCCGAUUGGAAUUUUACUUUCUUAUUCAACCAAGUCACUGAAUCAUAGGUAAGUUCUUUCAUUUUAGAAAUCCUCUAUUAUUAUAGAAUAUGUUUUGCAUUAAAUAAUUAUACAUUAAUAUAUUUAUAGAUUGAAAUUGUAUAUAAUAAUAUUACAUUAUAUACCUUCCACCGUUCUAGGUAUAUGUUUACAAUCUUUGCACUUUUAAUUAUUUAAUGUAUACUACCGGGGGGUCCAUUGAAAUCUGAACAAUUAAUAAUUCAAUAAUUAAUGAAAGUUGAGUAAUUGAAAUCAAUUCAUAUUUCGAUAUAUUAAAGCAUAAACAAUUAGUUACAAAA